GAGGAGACUGCAUUUCUACAUUCACAGGUGUUGACCAAAACGUAGGCCGGAAGUCAUUCUCCCUACCCUAGUUCCUAAAUACAUAUGCUGUCCAAUGUCAUUCAAAAUGAUGCACUAAUGAUGCACUUAGUGCCUAAGUGCUUUUAGGCUCAACAGAAUUCUUGUCAUUUCCAGGUUUUUGACAGUUUUUUUUUUUUUUUUGGUUUGUUUUUACUUAAUUAGGAGACGACAAAAUCUUCUGUUACCCCACAGAACCCAGCAUGGUGCUGACUCAGAAUCACAUGUACAAAAAUAUACCUAUUGAACUGAAGGAUCCUACAACCAGAUUUUGGAAAAGCAUCCUACAUUCUAGCCAUCAUCAACUAAACACUAUGAAUUGUGCUAAGAUACAGUUUUCAUCUUCAUCAUUCUCUUCACCUCAUCAUUUAUUUUUUGAGGGUUCCUUGUUUAUUACUGUGAAUUAGUAAUACUUUAUGUACUCUAUCAUCAAACUGUCACAAGUAUUCCAGUAGGUGGUGAAUUUUAACAUUUUGUAGUGGUUCAUCUGGACCAAUUCACUUACCAAAGAAGCUGUCGGCGAAAUGUGAUAUGUGUGUGUAAAUACCCAUAUUUUAUAGAAUAUAUAUAUUUUUAUAUAUAUCCACUUUAGAAGUGCUAUUCAUAUCUAGAAAUUGAUCAGUUUAUAAUUUAUCCUGGUGUAUGGUGUGGAGAAGUCAAUUUUAUCUUUUUACCAUUUUCUAUUUGGUUGUCUCACACUUAUUAGAAGUUCUUUCUCUUUCUGAUUUCAUAUGAUGCCUUUAUUAUAUAUUGAGAUUUCAUAUUCGUUUUGGUUUAUAUCCUCAUAUACUAAAUUGUUUCACUCAUCUGCCUAUUUAUGUAUCAAUACUGUACAGUUUUAUUUAUAGACUUUAUAACAUGUUUUAUGAUUUGGUCUGGUUACCUCUCCCACAUUGUUUUUCUUUCACAGGGCUUUCCUUUUCACUCAUUUUAACAAUUAGGUUAACUAAUGAACUUGUAACCUAAGAACAACAUGAUGGUAUUUUAUUAAGAUUGUUUCAGAUUUAUAAAUUUCAGGAAAAUUGACAUCUUUAUGAUGUUGAAUACUCUAAGAACUCAUCAGUGUCUUUCCAUUCAUUCUGGUUUACUUUUGUGUUUUUCCAAGAAUGCUAUAAAAUUUUACUCAUAUGAGUCUUGCACUUCUCUUUUUUAGUUGAUGUUUAGAUAUAUUAUUUUUUGUAGAGUAAAAUAUAAUCUGCUCUUCCUUUAUUUCUUCUAACUAAAUUUUGUUUGUAUGCAUAAAAUCUAUGAGUUUCUAUAUUUUGGUUUUAUAUUCUGCUACUUUAUUUUAUUAAGUUCUUUAAUAACUUUUAGUAGUUUUAAUCAUGGAUUCUUUUGGGAUUUCCAGAUAUUUAGCUGUAUCAUCUGCAAAUAGAGGUGUUUUUGCUUCUUCUUUCCUAAUUUUAUGUUUAUAUUUACUACCUCUAAUCUGUGUUAACUAAUACCCCAAUCCAUCAUUAAAUGAUUGUAAAGAUAGCAGAUCAUGUUUUUUCUCAAAUUUUAUCAUGAAAACCUCUAGAGAUUUUCCGUUAUGUGAAGAUGCUGGCCUUGGGUUGAGGUAUGUGAGUGUGUAUAUCUGUGCAUGUGUGUGUGUGUGUGUAUGUGUGUAUGUGUGUUGUUAAAGAAAGUACAUCAAUUCUUGUUUUAUUGAGUUUUUUAAAUGGAAGUUGAAUUUUGUCAAAUUUUCAUUAAAAUCAUAUGAUUUCUCCCUACCUCUUUUAAUUAAUAUGAUGAAUGUAUUAAUGGUUUCACCUUAUAUUUUUGCAAUAAACUUUAAUUGGUCAUGAUAUGUUGUUUAUUAAUAUGUUUUUAAACUCUUCUUGCUAAUCAUUUAUUUAAUUUUUUUGUGCCAAUUUUCUAAAGGGA
rnacentral:lncRNA from 1 species